rnacentral:rRNA from 1 species
CCUACGGGAGGCUGCAGUCGGGAAUCUUUCACAAUGGGCGAAAGUCUGAUGGAGCAACGCCGCGUGCAGGAUGAAGGCUUUCGGGUUGUAAACUGCUUUUAUGAGCGAGAAAAAUGAUAGUAACUUAUGAAUAAGGAUCGGCUAACUAUGUGCCAGCAGCCGCGGUCAUACGUAGGAGCCGAGCAUUAUCCGGAGUGACUGGGUGUAAAGAGUUGGGUAGGUGGGAUAAUAAGUAGCUAGGGAAAUCGAGUGGGUCAACCAGUCAGACUAUUAGCUACACUGUUAUGCUCGAGAACGGUAGGGGAAAGUGGAAUUCCUAGUGUAGCAGUGAAAUGCGUAGAUAUUAGAAGGAACACCAAUAGCGUAGGCAGGUUUCUGGGACGGUUCUGACACUAAGGCACGAAAGCGUAGGGAGCAAACGGGAUUAGAUACCCCUGUAGUC